rnacentral:rRNA from 1 species
UACAGAGGGGGCAAGCGUUAUUCGGAAUUAUUGGGCGUAAAGGGCGCGUAGGCGGCUUUUCAAGUGACGGGUGAAAUCCCUCGGCUUAACCGAGGAACUGCCUGUCAGACUGGAAGGCUUGAGACCGGGAGAGGUGAGUGGAAUUCCCAGUGUAGCGGUGAAAUGCGUAGAUAUUGGGAGGAACACCAGUGGGGAAGGCGGGUCUCUGGACAGUUCCUGACGCUGAGGCACGAAGGUCAGGGGAGUAAACGGG